AACGAACGCUGGCGGCGCGUCUUAAACAUGCAAGUCGAACGAUCUGUAGCAAUACAGGGAGUGGCGGACGGGUGAGGAACACGUAGGAAUCUACCUUGAAGAGCGGGACAACUUUGGGAAACCGGGGCUAAUACCGCAUAGUACAGAGAUGUUAAAGGGCUAGCAAUAGUCGCUUCGAGAUGAGCCUGCGGUCUAUCAGCUUGUUGGUGAGGUAAUGGGCUCACCAAGGCUACGACGGAUAGCCGGUCUGAGAGGAUGAUCGGCCACACUGGCACUGAGACACGGGCCAGACUCCUACGGGAGGCAGCAGUUAAGAAUCUUGCGCAAUGGGGGAAACCCUGACGCAGCGACGCCGCGUGAAGGAUGAAGGCUUUCGGGUUGUAAACUUCGGUAGACUGGGAAGAAGAAAUACGUUCGUUGAGGGCGUAUAGUGACGGUACCAGUCUGAAGCCCCGGCUAAUUACGUGCCAGCAGCCGCGGUAAU
rnacentral:rRNA from 1 species